rnacentral:rRNA from 1 species
GAGGGAAUAUUGAUUAAUGUGCGAAAGCGCGAACCAGCAACGCCGCGUGUACGAAGAAGGCCUUCGGGUUGUAAAGUACUUUUCACCGGGAAGAGGAUGGACGGUUCCGGUGGAAUAAGUCUCGGCUAACUACGUGCCAGCAGCCGCGGUAACACGUAGGAGACGAGCGUUAUCAGGAUUUACUGGGUGUAAAGCGCGUGCAGGCGGUCUGUUAAGUUGGAUGUGAAAGCUCCCGGCUAAACUGGGAGAGGUCGUUCAAAACUGGCAGGCUAGAGUGUGGUAGAGGGGAGUGGAAUUCCGAGUGUAGCGGUAAAAUGCAUAGAUAUUCGGAAGAACACCAGUGGCGAAGGCGACUUCCUGGACCACAACUGACGCUCAGACGCGAAAGCCAGGGUAGCAAACGG